rnacentral:rRNA from 1 species
AGCGAACGCUGGCGGCAGGCCUAACACAUGCAAGUCGAACGAAGUCUUCGGACUUAGUGGCGGACGGGUGAGUAACACGUGGGAACGUGCCUUUAGGUUCGGAAUAACUCAGGGAAACUUGUGCUAAUACCGAAUGUGCCCUUCGGGGGAAAGAUUUAUCGCCUUUAGAGCGGCCCGCGUCUGAUUAGCUAGUUUGUGAGGUCAAGGCUCACCAAGGCGACGAUCAGUAGCUGGGCUGAGAGGAUGAUCAGCCACAUUGGGACUGAGACACGGCCCAAACUCCUACGGGAGGCAGCAGUGGGGAAUCUUGCGCAAUGGGCGAAAGCCUGACGCAGCCAUGCCGCGUGAAUGAUGAAGGUCUUAGGAUUGUAAAAUCCUUUCACCGGUGAAGAUGAUGACUGUAGCCGGAGAAGAAGCCCCGGCUAACUUUGUGCCAGCCGCCGCCGUAAAAC